rnacentral:tRNA from 1 species
GCCCGGGUGGCGGAACUGGCAGACGCGCCGGACUCAAAAUCCGGUGGGGGCAACCCCAUCCGAGUUCGAUUCUCGGCCCGGGCA